rnacentral:rRNA from 1 species
UAGGGAAUCUUCGGCAAUGGACGGAAGUCUGACCGAGCAACGCCGCGUGAGUGAAGAAGGUUUUCGGAUCGUAAAGCUCUGUUGUUAGAGAAGAACGUUGGUAGGAGUGGAAAAUCUACCAAGUGACGGUAACUAACCAGAAAGGGACGGCUAACUACGUGCCAGCAGCCGCGGUAAUACGUAGGUCCCGAGCGUUGUCCGGAUUUAUUGGGCGUAAAGCGAGCGCAGGCGGUUCUUUAAGUCUGAAGUUAAAGGCAGUGGCUUAGCCAUUGUACGCUUUGGAAACUGGAGGACUUGAGUGCAGAAGGGGAGAGUGGAAUUCCAUGUGUAGCGGUGAAAUGCGUAGAUAUAUGGAGGAACACCGGUGGCGAAAGCGGCUCUCUGGUCUGUAACUGACGCUGAGGCUCGAAAGCGUGGGGAGCAAACAGG